rnacentral:rRNA from 1 species
AUUGAACGCUGGCGGCAGGCCUAACACAUGCGAGUCGAACGGUAACAGGAAGAAGCUUGCUUCUUUGCUGACGAGUGGCGGACGGGUGAGUAAUGUCUGGGAAACUGCCUGAUGGAGGGGGAUAACUACUGGAAACGGUAGCUAAUACCGCAUAACGUCGCAAGACCAAAGAGGGGGACCUUCGGGCCUCUUGCCAUCGGAUGUGCCCAGAUGGGAUUAGCUAGUAGGUGGGGUAACGGCUCACCUAGGCGACGAUCCCUAGCUGGUCUGAGAGGAUGACCAGCCACACUGGAACUGAGACACGGUCCAGACUCCUACGGGAGGCAGCAGUGGGGAAUGUUGCACAAUGGGCGCAAGCCUGAUGCAGCCAUGCCGCGUGUAUGAAGAAGGCCUUCGGGUUGUAAAGUACUUUCAGCGGGGAGGAAGGGAGUAAAGUUAAUACCUUUGCUCAUUGACGUUACCCGCAGAAGAAGCACCGGCUAACUCCGUG